rnacentral:misc_RNA from 1 species
GAAUGAAGAACGUAGCGAACGUGCGAAACGUAAUGUGAAUUGCAGAAUUCAGUGAAUCAUCGAAUCUUUGAACGCAUCUUGCGCUCCUUGGUAUUCCGAGGAGCAUGCCUGUUUGAGUGUCGUGAAUACUCUCAACUUCAACCCUUUUUUCGGAAAGGGAGGAAGGUUGGACUUGGGUGUUUGUUGAAGUGCGAGCUUCGACUCAUCCUAAAUGCAUUAGCGAUCUGCCUCGAUCACACACAAUGUGAUAAUUAAAACUAAAGCAUUGUUUAAUGAUCAAGUCGAGACUGCUUCUAACUGUCGCAAGACAAUAACGUGCAUACAUUUGUGCAUGUCAUUUGACCUCAAAUCAGGUAGGACUACCCGCUGAACUUAAGCAUAUCAAUAAGCGGAGGA